GCCACAUGAUGAUAUCAAGGCUGUUGUGAUUCAGUUGGUCUGGCUAAGCCCUGGGACCUUUGACAUCUUAAGGUCUGUAAUCUUGGUGGGCGAUACAGAGUAGUGUGCGUUCGCUGUAAGGGCAGACCAACACAAACUACUGUUUCCUACUUUUGAGCUGCCUCUCUUGAAUAGAGGUCAAUCUUCCAGUUGCCAGGGAGAAUUGGGUAACUGGAGUGAGAGAGCAGGAACAGAGCACGUUCGGGUUGUCAGGAGUCAGAGGUCCCAAAGGACUUAGCUUAUAGCAUGGCCACUGAGAGAUGAAACACAGAUCUUUGGUAAUCUGAUGGCU
rnacentral:snoRNA from 14 species